UCCAGACUCCUACGGGAGGCAGCAGUGGGGAAUAUUGCACAAUGGGGGAAACCCUGAUGCAGCGACGCCGCGUGAGUGAAGAAGUAAUUCGUUAUGUAAAGCUCUAUCAGCAGGGAAGAAAAUGACGGUACCUGACUAAGAAGCCCCGGCUAACUACGUGCCAGCAGCCGCGGUAAUACGUAGGGGGCAAGCGUUAUCCGGAUUUACUGGGUGUAAAGGGAGCGUAGACGGCAGUGCAAGUCCGGAGUGAAAGCCCGGGGCUCAACCCUGGGACUGCUCUGGAAACUGUAUGACUUGAGUGCAGGAGAGGUAAGCGGAAUUCCUAGUGUAGCGGUGAAAUGCGUAGAUAUUAGGAGGAACACCAGUGGCGAAGGCGGUCUGCUGGACAGCAACUGACGGUGAGGCGCGAAAGCGUGGGGAGCAAACAGGAUUAGAUACCCCCGUA
rnacentral:rRNA from 1 species